rnacentral:tRNA from 1 species
GUUACUUUGGCAGAUUAGUGCGUUAGAUUUAGAAUCUUUUUAUGUGAAAGUUUUACAGGUAAUA